GAGCCAGUGGGUGGUCACGGGUUAUCCUGAGGAAACUCCUCUGUCCAUGUAGUGACAUGGCGCUGUGAGGCGUAGCGGGAGACCGUUGGCAACAGCACAGAAACGAUACCCGAGCCAGAGAGUACCGUGAUGGAUAUUCCUGAGGUUUCUGGUUAAGGAUGAAACGGCUGACCCAUGUGGACCAAGGCCAAACAAGGAUUAAUGACUACUACUCGAGAUCCUGGGUAGGCCGCAUAGCUGAAUCCCACCCUGAACAAAAAGAGGGUUAAGCUC
rnacentral:RNase_P_RNA from 1 species